GUAGUCUCGCACAGAUGCAUAUCAAUAAGCGGAGGAAAAGAAACUAACAAGGAUUCCCUUAGUAACGGCGAGUGAAGCGGGAAGAGCUCAAAUUUGAAAUCUUCAAGGUUUUACCUUGACGAAUUGUAGUUUAAAGAAGCGUUUUCUGUUGAAGUUUUGGUAAAAGUUCUUUGGAAUAGGACAUCAUAGAGGGUGAGAAUCCCGUAUUUGACCAUUAUUUUCAGCUGUGUGAUACACUUUCAAAGAGUCGGAUUGUUUGGGAGUGCAGUCCAAAAUGGGUGGUAAAUUUCAUCUAAAGCUAAAUAUUGGCGAGAGACCGAUAGCGAACAAGUACCGUGAGGGAAAGAUGAAAAGAACUAUGAAAAGAGAGUUAAAUAGUACGUGAAAUUGUCAAAAGGGAAGCGUUUGACACCAGUGUUGUUUUCUCGAAAAUCAAUUAAAAAGAGUUAGAUUUUGUUGUGUAUUGACCUUAACAGCUUGCAUUUCAAUUUUCUUGCUUUUUUUAAUGCACUUUUCGUUUAACAAGUCAACAUCAGUUUCUUUUGUUGUAAAAAGGUCAUUGGAAGGUGGCUUUCUUUUCGGAGAAAGUGUUUAUAGCCUUUGACUCCUGCAAUCGGAGAGACUGAGGUCUGCAGCGUAGAUCCUUCGGGGUUAGAUACAUUUGUGCUAAGUUAUAGCUUUUUAUAGACAACUUGUUGACUAUGAUUAGUCUUGUAGCUUACUCGCUUAUGCUAUUUUACCUACGCUUAGGAUGUUGAAGAUGUAGCACAUCA
rnacentral:rRNA from 1 species